rnacentral:rRNA from 1 species
CCUACGGGUGGCAGCAGUGAGGAAUAUUGGUCAAUGGACGCAAGUCUGAACCAGCCAUGCCGCGUGCAGGAUGACGGCUCUAUGAGUUGUAAACUGCUUUUGUACGAGGGUAAACCCCGAUACGUGUAUCGUGUUGAAAGUAUCGUGCGAAUAAGGAUCGGCUAACUCCGUGCCAGCAGCCGCGGUAAUACGGAGGAUCCGAGCGUUAUCCGGAUUUAUUUGGUUUAAAGGGUGCGUUGGCGGGUUGAUAAGUUCGAGGUUAAAUGUCGGGGCCUAACCCCGGAACUGCCGCUAAUACUGAUGGGCUGGAGAGUAGGUGAGGUAGGCGGAAUGUAUGGUGUAGCGGUGAAAUGCUUAGAGAUCAUACAGAACACCGAUUGCGAAGGCAGCUUACCAAACUAUAUCUGACGUUGAGGCACGAAAGCGUGGGUAGCAAACAGGAUUAGAUACCCCUGUAGUC